GUCUACUAUGUCUAAAACCAGUGUGGUCAAACUAACACACACGUUUUUAUUUUAUUUAAAAAAAAAUGUGUAUGUUAGUUUGACCACA